UUGAAAUGAGAGAAUUAUGGAAAUGGAGAACAGAUCUGUGUCUGGCUUAAGUCAGGGAUGAGAUGGGUGCAGGAGAGGGAGGUGGGUGUGACCACAAAAGGGCAACACCAGGGGAUAGGUCUGUGGAAAUGUUCUGUAUCUUGAUUAUAGCGACAUCAGCAUCCUGGUUGUGAUAUGGUACUGUGUGAUACGGCAAGAUGUUACCAACAGGGGAAAGUGGUGAACCCAGUAAUACACCAGAUCUCUUGGGUCUCUCUAUAUUUCCUCUUACAACAGUGAAUCUACAAUUAGCUCAAAAUUAAAGUUUAUGAGAAAAAGAAAAAGGCACUGACUUCAUGGAUCUACUUACAGUUCUACCAGUGAAUAAUUAUGUGAUUUGAGGCGAAUUAACCUUGUCAGUCUUUCCACCGGUAAAAUGAGGAGAAUAUCUACUCGUGAUUGUGGAUUCAAAGUCCUGAAGGUCCAUUCUUUGGUUUCAAGAAGGCAGGACAUCAGGAACUUCCAUCAUGGGAGCAGGUUCAUUUCCAGAAAGAAAAUCCAGUCAGUUUUGCCAAAUGUGAGGAAAAGAGAAAUUGCAAAAAACAAAACAAAACAAAAAACCAAUAAAGC
rnacentral:lncRNA from 1 species